CUACGGGGGGCUCCAGUGGGGAAUAUUGCACAAUGGAGGAAACUCUGAUGCAGCAACGCCGCGUGGAGGAUGACACUUUUCGGAGCGUAAACUCCUUUUAUAUAGUAAGAAGAUGACGGUACUAUAUGAAUAAGCGCCGGCUAACUCCGUGCCAGCAGCCGCGGUAAUACGGAGGGCGCAAGCGUUACUCGGAAUCACUGGGCGUAAAGAGCGUGUAGGCGGAUUAAAAAGUCAGAAGUGAAAUCCUAUAGCUUAACUAUAGAACUGCUUCUGAAACUCUUAAUCUAGAAUAUGGGAGAGGUAGAUGGAAUUUCUGGUGUAGGGGUAAAAUCCGUAGAGAUCAGAAGGAAUACCGAUUGCGAAGGCGAUCUACUAGAACAUUAUUGACGCUGAGACGCGAAAGCGUGGGGAGCAAACAGGAUUAGAUACCCGUGUAGUC
rnacentral:rRNA from 1 species